CACACCCCAUUAUUUAUAGAAAAGGACAAGCAGGAGUGACUUGUACUAAGACGUAAAGUUAAAAAUGAAUGAAAUUAAGGAGGUUGACAGGGAAUGGUAAGAAAAAGGGAAAACACUGCAAAGAUAAAAGGGCAUCUGGUGUUGUCGUAGUGUGAACAUAUCUUUUAUUUGCCUGAAUUGUCAUCUCCGAGGAUCAGUGCCUCUGUCUGCUACCCUAGACCUAGUCAUGAAAGCUUCUAGUCCCCAUACAACCUUAUCUAGGCCUAGAAUGUUUUCAGACUCAGAUUUCCUGCUGAAUAAGUUCACCCUUCCUAGCUCUUUCUGAGUCCUGGCUGGCUGAUUUAUCUCAGCUGUUCUGGUCCAACUCCUCUCCAAGCUGACUGGUUCAAUCUGUCCUCUCUGUGCUUUUCCUGCAUUGCUUUGUUUAGCCUCAAACUGAGAAAACUGAGUUAGCCAGAGUCAGGCUGACUCCAUGACAGGCUGCAAGUUGGCACUUUGGGAGACUAGGCCUAAGUUUGUUUCCCAGGAACCACUGGUCAGCCACCCCAGCGGCAGGCACUGAUCUUAGGAUUCGUGCCACCCAGAGCCCUAACAAGUAACAAAGACACCCUGAAGAUACAGCCAACAAAUCAAGAGAAAGUAAGUCACCCAUCCUACCCUAACAGGCUUUAAAUGACCCUACAAAGCAGAUACUCUGUCUCCAUUCUCCGGCAAGCAGAAGAUGCUGUUGAAUAAACACUUUGCCUUCUACAUA
rnacentral:lncRNA from 1 species